rnacentral:rRNA from 1 species
GACGAACGCUGGCGGCGUGCUUAACACAUGCAAGCCGAACGCUGAAACCAAAGCUUGCUUUGGUGGAUGAGUGGCGAACGGGUGAGUAACACGUGAGUAACCUGCCCAUCACUCUGGGAUAAGCACUGGAAACGGUGUCUAAUACUGGAUAUGCACGACGGCCGCAUGGCCUGUUGUGGGAAAGAUUUAUCGGUGAUGGACGGACUCGCGGCCUAUCAGCUAGUUGGUGAGGUAAUGGCUCACCAAGGCGACGACGGGUAGCCGGCCUGAGAGGGUGAUCGGCCACACUGGGACUGAGACACGGCCCAU